rnacentral:rRNA from 1 species
AUUGAACGCUGGCGGCAGGCCUAACACAUGCAAGUCGAACGGUAACAGGAAGCAGCUUGCUGCUUCGCUGACGAGUGGCGGACGGGUGAGUAAUGUCUGGGAAGCUGCCUGAUGGAGGGGGAUAACUACUGGAAACGGUAGCUAAUACCGCAUAAUGUCGCAAGACCAAAGAGGGGGACCUUCGGGCCUCUUGCCAUCGGAUGUGCCCAGAUGGGAUUAGCUUGUUGGUGGGGUAACGGCUCACCAAGGCGACGAUCCCUAGCUGGUCUGAGAGGAUGACCAGCCACACUGGAACUGAGACACGGUCCAGACUCCUACGGGAGGCAGCAGUGGGGAAUAUUGCACAAUGGGCGCAAGCCUGAUGCAGCCGUGCCGCGUGUAUGAAGAAGGCCUUCGGGUUGUAAAGUACUUUCAGCGGUGAGGAAGGGAGUAAAGUUAAUACCUUUGCUCAUUGACGUUACCCGCAGAAGAAGCACCGGCUAACUCCGUG